AUGUAUUAGAGUCUAAUUGGUUCAUGAGAUAUGGGUAUGAGAUCUGGGUAUUGGUUCAUGGGAUUUGGGUAUUGGUUUAUGAGAUUUGGGUAUUGGUUCAUGGGAUAUGGGUAUUAGAUUGGAUGUAUGGUUCAUGGGAUUUGGUCCAUGAGGUUUGGGUUUUGGUUCAUGGGAUAUGGUCUAUGAGGUUUGGGUUGGUUCAUGGAAUUUGGUCUAUGAGAUUUGGUUGGUUCAUGGGAUUUGGUCCAUGAGAUUUGGUUUAUGGUUCAUGGGAUUUGGUCCAUGAGGUUUGAUUAUGGUUCAUGGGAUUUGGUCCAUGAGGUUUGGUUGUGGCUCAUGGGAUUUGGUCCAUGAGGUUUGGUUUUGGUUCAUAGGAUUUGGUCCAUGAGAUUUGAUUUUGGUUCAUGGGAUUUGGUCCAUGAGAUUUGGUUUUGGUUCAUGGGAUUUGGUCCAUGAGGUUUGGUUUUGGUUCAUGGGAUUUGGUCCAUGAGAUUUGGUUAUGGUUCAUGGGAUUUGGUCCAUGAGGUUUGGUUUUGGUUCAUGGGAUUUGGUCUAUGAGGUUUGGUUUUGGUUUAUGGAAUUUGGUCCAUGAGAUUUGGUUUUGGUUCAGGUUGGGUUUGGAUUUGAUUUGAGUUUGGGUUUUGGUUUUAUGUGUGGACUUGGUUUAGGUUUGGAUUUAUUUGGGUUCAAGUUUGGGUUUAUUUGGGUUUUGGGUUUAGGUUUAUUUGGGUUUUGGGUUUGGGUUUAUUUGUGGGUUUAUUUUGUGGACUUGGUUUGGAUUGGUUUGGGUUUAUUUGUAGAUUUGGUUUGGGUUUUUAUGUGGACUUGGUUUGGGUUAGGUUUGGGUUUGAUUUGAUUUAGGUUUGUAGGUGAACGUGACUCGGAUUUGU
rnacentral:lncRNA from 1 species